CGGCGGACGGGUGAGUAACACGUGGAUAACCUACCUAUAAGACUGGGAUAACUUCGGGAAACCGGAGCUAAUACCGGAUAAUAUAUUGAACCGCAUGGUUCAAUAGUGAAAGACGGUUUUGCUGUCACUUAUAGAUGGAUCCGCGCCGCAUUAGCUAGUUGGUAAGGUAACGGCUUACCAAGGCAACGAUGUGUAGCCACCUGAGAGGGUGAUCGGCCACACUGGAACUGAGACACGGUCCAG
rnacentral:rRNA from 1 species